GUGCUUGCUUUGGCAGCACAUAUACUAAAAUUGAACCAAUGCAGAGAAGAUUAGCAUGGCCCCUGCCCAAGAAUGACAUGCAAAUUCAUAAAACAUUCCUUAUUUUU
rnacentral:snRNA from 1 species